AAUAAAGUGCCUGAAUAUAGGAUUAUUUUGAUAGAAUAAAAGAUGUAAUAUAAUUUACCUUUAUUG
rnacentral:tRNA from 1 species